GAUGAAGCUUGAGAAUGAGCGAAUAGCAUUGGAGUUGAAGCGCAAAGAAAACAGUGUUGAUUUUAAUUAAUUGUCUGGUCCUAUCCGAUUUUGUUCAUCGUAUGUCAUAUUGCUUUCAGUUUUGGUAAUAUUCUGUUGAAUAUCUGCAGUAUCUGUUAGGAGGAGAAUCUUGUUGGAAAUAUUACUCUGCCUUUUUAAAUUGUGUAAACUUGAGGUAUUGAAAUACCAUUAUCUAGUUAUAUUGUUUGACUUUAGUGGAAUAGUAUUGUGUUUGGUUGAAGAUAUUGUGGCAAGAAUCUUUUUCUUUCAAUCUUUUCUUCCUCUUUUUUUAAUUGUCAUGUAUCUGGAGUUCUGGUUGAAAUUUGAAUAUUUAGCCCCAUUUUGAUGAUUAAGA
rnacentral:misc_RNA from 1 species